ensembl:snoRNA U3 Small nucleolar RNA U3
GAGACUAUACUUUCAGGGAUCAUUUCUAUAGUUUGUUACUAUAAACAUAGCAGAGGAACAGGCUUAGUCUGAUGAACACCAAGAGUGAAGACU